UAUGUUUCAGCGUCUUCUGCAUUUCGGGAAGGAUGUCAUUUCCGAGAUAUCCAUGACGGAGAAAUAAAUGGACGAUGGAUGGACGAUAUAUGGGGAUACCGAGCCGAUAUUUACGAUCUGUAUUUAGUUAGCAGAAACGUGGGAGAGACCAGAAGCAAUGGGGGCUGCUACUGCUCAUUGUGACGUCAUAGCCCUCCCUAAAAUCCUGACAUACGCACAUGAUGGAGGUACAGAAGCUGUCAAGAGAUUAUGUUUCGCCGCCUUUUUCAUCAUGGCCGUUAUGGUUCCAUUGAAUAUUAUACAAAAGAGAUUUGUUCCUCUUGUAAACAAUACCUACCUACCUACUAAACAUGAAUGGAGAAGUAUUUUCUUAUAGGGUUGGGAACACGCUUACUACCCUACUUCUUGCAGAACACCUGCUCAUCAGUAUUGGAGACGUUCAAGAUCAACAAUCUAGACUCGUUUAACUUACUGUACUUUUUUAUUGUAUAGUUAGGUAGUUGCAUAACAGUAGCUAGAUAUACAUACCUACUGUCGGUAUUGAUUUUUUAAUACCACCCAAAAUGUUACUGUAUCUAGUUAUAACACUAUAUUCUAUCUUUUGAAACUUAAUGCAAUAAUGGCUCGUCCGGUUUUAGGCUAGGACAACGAACAUUGCAACUUACCAAAUCACAAUUUGUAUAUAAUAACAUAAUUAAUUAGUAGUGGUGGUAUCAAUUUGCAAAUUAUGUACCUACUGUGACGUGGUAUCUAAAGGGCGUCAUACACAUUAAGUUUAAGGGAAACAUACCUAAUCUAUAUAACAUUCUAGAACCUACAAAAUGGCGGAAAGUACGGGGUGACCAAAUGAGAAUGAUGUGGCCCUCAAAUUACCAUAGCGGGUCGUAAAUCUUUGGAGUGAAACAUUUUUUUAAAUAAAAGGGAGUAAAACGAGCAUGCUUGAAAUUUUACGGCAACCACUAAGGAGCGGCACACGAAUUCUAAAACAGGGAAAACCGAGGGGAAAAUGCUCCUACGUAUUUUUUUGUUAAACUUUUAAAACUUUUUAAAUUGUAGUCACAAAAAAUUCUGCCAAAUUUUUCCUACUUCAUAGAUUUCCAAAAACUUACCAGAUAUCGUUUAACAGUCAAUACACCGGUGUUUCCAAGAGCGUGACUAGAGUAUUAAUUUAGAUACGGUAUCGCGGUUUAGAGUGAUUUUUGACUGUUUCUCCAAAAAAUUUAAAUGGAACUUUUUUUAUUUUUACCUAUACAGUGCGUUCAAGAUAAGAGAGUAAUCUCAAGAUCUCUUUUAUUUGGCAAGAUACGAAAAAUGUGUCAUUUAUAAUUGUAUAUGUAACUUUACGAUCUAUCUGAUCGAAUAUUCAAACUUCCGGUAGCACUUUCGGCUUAACCGGAAAAAAGCGGAAAUUGAUGCAACUUUUGUUUUUCAAAUGCAAUACCUAUGGUUUUUACGAUAUUUGAAAAGAGCAAUCAAUUCUCAAAUUGUCAAAAAUGAAGAAACUGGUGAAUCAAUAUUUAGAAAAUUUAUGAAAAGCAAAAGCAUCAAUUUCUGGUUAAACCCAAAGUAAUGCAGAAAGUUUGAAAAUGCGAUCAGAUAGUUCGUUACGUUACAUAUAAAAUUAUAUUAGACACAUUUUUUGUAUCUCGCCAAAUAAAAGAGAUGCCUAUUGAAGUGAUCCUCUUAUCUUGAACGCACUGUAUAGCAUUAGAAAGUAUAAAGAUGCCUACAUCCAUGAGACACUUUCUGACAAGAGAAGGACAAUAAAUAAAUAAAUGAAUAAAGACCUAAUCAAAUAGCCGUUUCUUGACAUUCUUUAAUCUGCACUUGUUGAAUCGCGAAAACAAAGUAAUCUGGAAACAAAAUGCUGUCAAACAGUAUCGUAGUUGAUAGUUGAAUAUUGAUUACAACAGAUUAAUGCUUCAUAAGUCAUAUAAAUUGGUUUUACUGGAAGGAUGGUAGAGGAAACUUUGUAGCACUCAUCCUAGGAACAACCCUUAGGCUACAUUUUAUAUGCCUUAAAAGUAGACUUUUAAACCAAUCAAAACUCAUAGUUGGUAGGUUUCCUCAUAAAAUUUUUUGAGAAAGCUUAACAAUUUCAAUGUUUUCAUACAACUAAAUAUUGAACAUUUUAUAUUCAAAGCUAUAGAUACUCUAGCUGAAAAAAUGAAUUACAACAAUUGUUUAAACUAUACCUACCUUUUCAACUUCAAUUUGGGACGACGAAACAAAAACCAAUUUGAAUUUCUGUAAAGGAAGCGUUCCCGCAAACGUAACAUACUGUUCCAUUUAAAUUUUUUGAGAAACGGGUCAUAAUCUAUAGGUACACUACACCGAAGCGCCAUCUAACGGAAAUCAAUAACCCUGAUCGGAUAAUUCCGACGUGCUUGCGGUAUCCAGUGUACACUCAAGUUCUUAAAAAUCUAGCACAAUAUUGAUAUUCAAGUUUAAUUUUACCUCCUCUUAUUAUUAUUUCCUUUACGAUAGGUAUAGCUGUAGUUAACCACACGUAUAUGCUUCCAUCAUUUGAUAUUUUAACAAAAACCUCGUUAUCUGUUUUGAAGUGUUUAGCGAUGUAUGAAACCAGUUCCUAGCAUUUCUCUCUUGCGUGCAUUUAGUAUAUGGACGAAUUGUAAAUAUUAGAUGAGAUUAACUGAUUUAUUACUCCCUGAUGGCCAUUUGGCCACAAAUAUAGAGUGUAUAAUUUUCAUGUAUAACUUAAUUCAAUUAACGAUACUUUGGUAAUUACGAGUAUAAACAUGCAAGUUUGAAUUGAGCGUUAAUUUUAUAGCAACGUCCAAAAUGGAGCGUUCACGAAAGCUCCUUUAAUAUACUGUAGACUGCACUGGUACCUAAAGUUGACUGGGCUCCGAUCCAUCUAAAAAAAAUUCUAAUCUUGAGACCCACGCACAAAAAUAUUAAAAUACCUACUAUACCUAGGUGCUAUAAAGUUUGUUAGCGUUAUCUAGAAAACACCGGGUGGAGAUCGGCUUACUAGUUUCUCCUUUUUUUUCAUUAACAUAGGUAUGUAAUAUUAUGUGCGAUGCCACGCAAAUAGUCAUGCAUGUUAUAUUGAUGUCAACGUUUUCAGCAAGCUGUUUGUUUCUGUGAGCACACUCUCUGUGGUUUUUACGAGUAGGUACUAGCUCGGGUACUAGUUGAUUUUUGCACGCCUGCAUAUUGUACGAUUCGCAAUUGGUCCUUGUCCCCUAUGGAUUGCUCCAAUAAAUUUCCAGAUAUUCGGAUGGUCUACAGAAAUCUUUGGCAACCUCUUACUAAAUUGUUGGUUUUUGGCAAAACAUUC